rnacentral:rRNA from 1 species
AGAGUUUGAUCCUGGCUCAGGAUGAACGCUAGCGACAGGCUUAACACAUGCAAGUCGAGGGGCAGCGGUGGUGAAGGCUUGCCUUUACCAGCCGGCGACCGGCGCACGGGUGAGUAACACGUAUGCAACCUGCCUGCCACAGCCGGAUAAUCGGGAGAAAUUCCGUCUAAUACGGCAUAAUGCAUCGACGGGACAUCCUGUUGGUGCCAAAGGUUGAUUCCGGUGGCGGAUGGGCAUGCGUCGCAUUAGUUAGUUGGCGGUGUAACGGACCACCAAGACGACGAUGCGUAGGGGUUCUGAGAGGAAGGUCCCCCACACUGGUACUGAGACACGGACCAGACUCCUACGGGAGGCAGCAGUGAGGAAUAUUGGUCAAUGGGCGGGAGCCUGAACCAGCCAAGUCGCGUGAGGGAUGACGGCCCUAUGGGUUGUAAACCUCUUUUGCCGGGGAGCAAAGUGCCGCACGUGUGCGGUUUGGAGAGUACCCGGAGAAAAAGCAUCGGCUAACUCCGUGCCAGCAGCCGCGGUAAUACGGAGGAUGCGAGCGUUAUCCGGAUUUAUUGGGUUUAAAGGGUGCGUAGGCGGACGCUUAAGUCAGCGGUAAAAUUGCGGGGCUCAACCUCGUCGAGCCGUUGAAACUGGGUGCCUUGAGUGGGCGAGAAGUACGCGGAAUGCGUGGUGUAGCGGUGAAAUGCAUAGAUAUCACGCAGAACUCCGAUUGCGAAGGCAGCGUACCGGCGCCCAACUGACGCUGAAGCACGAAGGCGUGGGUAUCGAACAGGAUUAGAUACCCUGGUAGUCCACGCAGUAAACGAUGAAUGCUAGUUGUCCGGGGCGAUUGAGUUCUGGGUGACACAGCGAAAGCGUUAAGCAUUCCACCUGGGGAGUACGCCGGCAACGGUGAAACUCAAAGGAAUUGACGGGGGCCCGCACAAGCGGAGGAACAUGUGGUUUAAUUCGAUGAUACGCGAGGAACCUUACCCGGGCCCAAACGCAGGAGGGAUGUUUUUGAAAGGAGGCAGCCAGCAAUGGUCUCCUGCGAGGUGCUGCAUGGUUGUCGUCAGCUCGUGCCGUGAGGUGUCGGCUUAAGUGCCAUAACGAGCGCAACCCCUACCUACAGUUGCCAUCGCGUGAUGGCGGGCACUCUGUGGGGACUGCCUGCGCAAGCAGUGAGGAAGGCGGGGAUGACGUCAAAUCAGCACGGCCCUUACGUCCGGGGCGACACACGUGUUACAAUGGCAGGUACAGCGGGAAGCCACCCGGCGACGGGGCGCGGAACCCGAAAACCUGUCUCAGUUCGGAUUGGAGUCUGCAACCCGACUCCAUGAAGCUGGAUUCGCUAGUAAUCGCGCAUCAGCCACAGCGCGGUGAAUACGAUCCCGGGCCUUGUACUCACCGCCCGUCA